rnacentral:rRNA from 1 species
UACAGAGGAUGCAAGCGUUAUCCGGAAUUAUUGGGCGUAAAGCGUCUGGAGGUGGCUUUUUAAGUCCGCCGUCAAAUCCCAGGGCUCAACUCUGGACAGGCGGUGGAAACUACCAAGCUGGAGGACGGUAGGGGCAGAGGGAAUUUCCGGUGGAGCGGUGAAAUGCGUAGAGAUCGGAAAGAACACCAACGGCGAAAGCACUCUGCUGGGCCGACACUGACACUGAGAGACGAAAGCUAGGGGAGCGAAUGGG